UGGGGAAUAUUGCACAAUGGGGGAAACCCUGAUGCAGCGACGCCGCGUGAGCGAAGAAGUAUUUCGGUAUGUAAAGCUCUAUCAGCAGGGAAGAAAAUGACGGUACCUGACUAAGAAGCACCGGCUAAAUACGUGCCAGCAGCCGCGGUAAUACGUAUGGUGCAAGCGUUAUCCGGAUUUACUGGGUGUAAAGGGAGCGUAGACGGCUGUGUAAGUCUGAAGUGAAAGCCCGGGGCUCGAACCCCGGGACUGCUUUGGAAACUAUGCAGCUAGAGUGUCGGAGAGGUAAGUGGAAUUCCCAGUGUAGCGGUGAAAUGCGUAGAUAUUGGGAGGAACACCAGUGGCGAAGGCGGCUUACUGGACGAUGA
rnacentral:rRNA from 1 species